UGAGGAAUUUUCCGCAAUGGGCGAAAGCCUGACGGAGCAAUGCCGCGUGGAGGAUGAAGGCCUGUGGGUCGUAAACUCCUUUUCUCGGAAAAGAAAUUCUGACGGUAUCUGAGGAAUAAGCAUCGGCUAACCCCGUGCCAGCAGCCGCGGUAAUACGGGGGAUGCAAGCGUUAUCCGGAAUGAUUGGGCGUAAAGCGUCUGUAGGUGGUUUCUUAAGUCGAAUGUCAAAUAUCAGGGCUUAACCCUGAGCCGGCAUUCGAAACUAAGAGGCUUGAGUACGGUAGGGGCAGAGGGAAUUCCCGGUGUAGCGGUGAAAUGCGUAGAGAUCGGGAAGAACACCAACGGCGAAGGCACUCUGCUGGGCCGACACUGACACUGAGAGACGAAAGCUAGGGUAGCGAAUGGG
rnacentral:rRNA from 1 species